CAACUAGUAUAAUAAGGACUGCCUGGUCUACAACAAGCUAGAAAGACGUUCCGUCUUUGCGCACAUGUAUCCACCUAUGAGGAUGUCCUGCACUCACACACCCAGGAAUGUACAGUAAAUAAACCCUUUCACAGGACAGAUGCUGGGGGGUUAUGCCAUCAAGAUCCUGGGAAAACAACACUCCCUACUGGCUGGUUGCCAAAUAAUGGAACACAGACUGGGAUGAGAAUGGGUUCUUCAAGAUCCUGCAGGGAAAGGACGAAUGUGGCAUCGAAUCAGAGAUAGUGGCUGGGAUCCCACAACUUAAGAGGAGUCCAGGCUUAUCCCCAGGACUGGGGUCGACAGGACUGUGGUCCAUUUAAAAUAAAAUUGUCUUCAGUUUAUGAAGUGGAAAUAAUAAAACAUUCAGUAUUUUUUA